GUUGCUUAUUUUUAUGUGGGAACACUUCACUUCAGCUUCGUUUUGGUCCAGUACUCAAACGAGUUCAGUCGAAUCCUUCACUUGCAUAAGUACAGUCGGAUCCUGCACAAGUACAACCACCUGGCACACCCACUGGGUGUCUAUGGGUGUUAUUUACACAAACUAUUUCAGAAAAGGUCAAAUUAAUUUGAUAAAUUUUCAGGCUGGCUUGUGCUAUCUUUCAUACAGAGGUUACGCG
rnacentral:lncRNA from 1 species